rnacentral:rRNA from 1 species
UUGUAGUCUGCAACCCGACUACAUGAAGCUGGAAUCGCUAGUAAUCGCGAAUCAGAAUGUCGCGGUGAAUACGUUCCCGGGUCUUGUACACACCGCCCGUCACACCAUGGGAGUCGGAAAUGCCCGAAGUCAGUGACCUAACCGAAAGGGAGGAGCUGCCGAAGGUGGAGCCGGUAACUGGGGUGAAGUCGUAACAAGGUACC